AGGCCCGUAGCUCAGUUGGUUAGAGCGCCUCCCUGACACGGAGGAGGUCGAUGGUUCGAGUCCAUUCGGGCCUACCA
rnacentral:tRNA from 1 species